rnacentral:rRNA from 1 species
CCUACGGGAGGCAGCAGUGGGGAAUCUUGCGCAAUGGGCGAAAGCCUGACGCAGCAACGCCGCGUGCGGGAAGAAGGCUUUCGGGCUGUAAACCGCUUUCAGCAGGAACGAAAAUGACGGUACCUGCAGAAGAAGGAGCGGCCAACUAUGUGCCAGCAGCCGCGGUGAUACAUAGGCUUCAAGCGUUGUCCGGAUUUAUUGGGCGUAAAGAGUUCGUAGGCGGUCGAGUAAGUCGGGUGUGAAAAUUCUGGGCUCAACCCAGAGACGCCACCCGAUACUGCUUGACUUGAGUUCGAUAGGGGAGUGGGGAAUUCCUAGUGUAGCGGUGAAAUGCGCAGAUAUUAGGAGGAACACCGGUGGCGAAGGCGCCACUCUGGAUCGAUACUGACGCUGAGGAACGAAAGCAUGGGUAGCAAACAGGAUUAGAUACCCUGGUAGUCCAUGCCGUAAACGGUGGGCACUAGGUNUGGGUUUCUAUUAACGAAAUCCGCGCCGUCGCUAACGCAUUAAGUGCCCCGCCUGGGGAGUACGGUCGCAAGCUAAAACUCAAAGGAAUUGACGGCNGAGAGNGCGAGCGACGACGAGGAGAG